rnacentral:rRNA from 1 species
GACGAACCGAGCGAACGUUGUUCGGAAUCACUGGGCUUAAAGGGCGCGUAGGCGGGUGUUCAAGUCCGUGGUGAAAUCCUCCGGCUCAACCGGAGAACUGCCUCGGAUACUGGAUGUCUCGAGGGCGGUAGGGGUAUGCGGAACUAUCGGUGGAGCGGUGAAAUGCGUUGAUAUCGAUAGGAACUCCGGUGGCGAAGGCGGCAUACUGGACCACUUCUGACGCUGAGGCGCGAAAGCCAGGGGAGCAAACGGG